rnacentral:rRNA from 1 species
GGUUAAGUGACUAAGCGUACAUGGUGGAUGCCUUGGCAGUCAGAGGCGAUGAAGGACGUACUAACCUGCGAUAAGCUGUGAGAAGUCGGUAAGAGACGCUAUUACUCACAGAUUUCCGAAUGGGGAAACCCACCCGAGAUAACUCGGGUAUCUGUUACUGAAUACAUAGGUAACAGAGGCGAACCGGGAGAACUGAAACAUCUAAGUACCCCGAGGAAAAGAAAUCAACCGAGAUUCCCUCAGUAGCGGCGAGCGAACGGGGAUUAGCCCUUAAGCAUCUUGGAAGUUAGUGGAACGGUCCUGGAAAGGCCGGCGAUACAGGGUGAUAGCCCCGUACACGAAAACAACCUUGAUGUGAAAUCGAGUAGGGCGGGACACGUGACAUCCUGUCUGAAUAUGGGGGGACCAUCCUCCAAGGCUAAAUACUCCUGACUGACCGAUAGUGAACCAGUACCGUGAGGGAAAGGCGAAAAGAACCCCUGUGAGGGGAGUGAAAUAGAACCUGAAACCGUGUACGUACAAGCAGUGGGAGCCCUUCGGGGUGACUGCGUACCUUUUGUAUAAUGGGUCAGCGACUUACAUUUUGUAGCGAGGUUAACCGUAUAGGGGAGCCGUAGGGAAACCGAGUCUUAACUGGGCGUCUAGUUGCAAGGUGUAGACCCGAAACCGGGUGAUCUAGCCAUGGGCAGGUUGAAGGUUGAGUAACAUCAACUGGAGGACCGAACCCACUAACGUUGCAAAGUUAGGGGAUGACCUGUGGCUGGGGGUGAAAGGCCAAUCAAACUCGGAGAUAGCUGGUUCUCCCCGAAAGCUAUUUAGGUAGCGCCUCGGACGAAUACUACUGGGGGUAGAGCACUGUUUGGGCUAGGGGGUCAUCCCGACUUACCAACCCCAUGCAAACUCCGAAUACCAGUAAGUAAUAUCCGGGAGACACACGGCGGGUGCUAACGUCCGUCGUGAAGAGGGAAACAACCCAGACCGCCGGCUAAGGUCCCAAAGUUCUGGUUAAGUGGGAAACGAUGUGGGAAGGCUCAGACAGCUAGGAUGUUGGCUUAGAAGCAGCCAUCAUUUAAAGAAAGCGUAAUAGCUCACUAGUCGAGUCGGCCUGCGCGGAAGAUGUAACGGGGCUCAAACCAGGCACCGAAGCCGCGGAUUUGCACUUAGUGCAAGUGGUAGGGGAGCGUUCUGUAAGUCUGCGAAGGUGUAUCGAGAGGUAUGCUGGAGAUAUCAGAAGUGCGAAUGCUGACGUAAGUAACGAUAAAGGGGGUGAAAAGCCUCCUCGCCGGAAGACCAAGGGUUCCUGUCCAACGUUAAUCGGGGCAGGGUGAGUCGACCCCUAAGGUGAGGCCGAAAGGCGUAAUCGAUGGGAAGCAGGUUAAUAUUCCUGCACGACUUGUAAUUGCGAUGGGGGGACGGAGAAGGCUAGGUGGGCCAGGCGACGGUUGUCCUGGUGAAAGUGCGUAGGUGGUGUUUCUAGGCAAAUCCGGAGACACAACACUGAGACACGAGACGAACACACUACGGUGUGGAAGCCAUUGAUGCCCUGCUUCCAGGAAAAGCCUCUAAGCUUCAGAUUACAAGUCAUCGUACCCCAAACCGACACAGGUGGUCGGGUAGAGAAUACCAAGGCGCUUGAGAGAACUCGGGUGAAGGAACUAGGCAAAAUAGAACCGUAACUUCGGGAGAAGGUUCGCUCUUGAUGGUGAAGUCCCUUGCGGAUGGAGCUGUCGGGAGUCGCAGUGACCAGAUGGCUGGGACUGUUUAUCAAAAACACAGCACUCUGCAAACACGAAAGUGGACGUAUAGGGUGUGACACCUGCCCGGUGCCGGAAGGUUAAUUGAUGGGGUUAGCGCAAGCGAAGCUCUUGAUCGAAGCCCCGGUAAACGGCGGCCGUAACUAUAACGGUCCUAAGGUAGCGAAAUUCCUUGUCGGGUAAGUUCCGACCUGCACGAAUGGUGUAACCAUGGCCAUGCUGUCUCCACCCGAGACUCAGUGAAAUCGAAUUCGCCGUGAAGAUGCGGUGUACCCGCGGCUAGACGGAAAGACCCCGUGAACCUUUACUACAGCUUGGCACUGAACAUUGAACCUACAUGUGUAGGAUAGGUGGGAGGCUUUGAAGGCGUGACGCCAGUUGCGCUGGAGCCGUCCUUGAAAUACCACCCUUGUAUGUUUGAUGUUCUAACGCAGGGCCCUGAAUCGGGCUCGCGGACAGUGCCUGGUGGGUAGUUUGACUGGGGCGGUCUCCUCCCAAAGAGUAACGGAGGAGCACGAAGGUUGGCUAAUCCUGGUCGGACAUCAGGAGGUUAGUGCAAUGGCAUAAGCCAGCUUAACUGCGAGACGGACAGGUCGAGCAGGUACGAAAGUAGGUCAUAGUGAUCCGGUGGUUCUGAAUGGAAGGGCCAUCGCUCAACGGAUAAAAGGUACUCCGGGGAUAACAGGCUGAUACCGCCCAAGAGUUCAUAUCGACGGCGGUGUUUGGCACCUCGAUGUCGGCUCAUCACAUCCUGGGGCUGAAGUCGGUCCCAAGGGUAUGGCUGUUCGCCAUUUAAAGUGGUACGCGAGCUGGGUUCAGAACGUCGUGAGACAGUUCGGUCCCUAUCUGCCGUGGGCGUUGGAUGAUUGAAGGGAGUUGCUCCUAGUACGAGAGGACCGGAGUGAACGAACCUCUGGUGUUCGGGUUGUCACGCCAGUGGCACUGCCCGGUAGCUAAGUUCGGAAUCGAUAACCGCUGAAAGCAUCUAAGCGGGAAGCGAGCCCUGAGAUGAGUCAUCCCUGACCCCUUGAGGGUCCUAAAGGGCCGUUGGAGACCACAACGUUGAUAGGUGGGGUGUGUAAGCGCGGCGACGUGUUGAGCUAACCCAUACUAAUUACCCGUGAGGCUUAACCAU